UCACUUGUGGGGGGAUUAGUGGCGAACGGGUGAGUAACACGUGAGUAACCUGCCCUUAACUCUGGGAUAAGCCUGGGAAACUGGGUCUAAUACCGGAUAUGACUCCUCAUCGCAUGGUGGGGGGUGGAAAGCUUUAUUGUGGUUUUGGAUGGACUCGCGGCCUAUCAGCUUGUUGGUGAGGUAAUGGCUCACCAAGGCGACGACGGGUAGCCGGCCUGAGAGGGUGACCGGCCACACUGGGACUGAGACACGGCCCAGACUCCUACGGGAGGCAGCAGUGGGGAAUAUUGCACAAUGGGCGAAAGCCUGAUGCAGCGACGCCGCGUGAGGGAUGACGGCCUUCGGGUUGUAAACCUCUUUCAGUAGGGAAGAAGCGAAAGUGACGGUACCUGCAGAAGAAGCGCCGGCUAACUACGUGCCAGCAGCCGCGGUAAUACGUAGGGCGCAAGCGUUAUCCGGAAUUAUUGGGCGUAAAGAGCUCGUAGGCGGUUUGUCGCGUCUGCCGUGAAAGUCCGGGGCUCAACUCCGGAUCUGCGGUGGGUACGGGCAGACUAGAGUGAUGUAGGGGAGACUGGAAUUCCUGGUGUAGCGGUGAAAUGCGCAGAUAUCAGGAGGAACACCGAUGGCGAAGGCAGGUCUCUGGGCAUUAACUGACGCUGAGGAGCGAAAGCAUGGGGAGCGAACAGGAUUAGAUACCCUGGUAGUCCAUGCCGUAAACGUUGGGCACUAGGUGUGGGGGACAUUCCACGUUUUCCGCGCCGUAGCUAACGCAUUAAGUGCCCCGCCUGGGGAGUACGGCCGCAAGGCUAAAACUCAAAGGAAUUGACGGGGGCCCGCACAAGCGGCGGAGCAUGCGGAUUAAUUCGAUGCAACGCGAAGAACCUUACCAAGGCUUGACAUGAACCGGUAAUACCUGGAAACAGGUGCCCCGCUUGCGGUCGGUUUACAGGUGGUGCAUGGUUGUCGUCAGCUCGUGUCGUGAGAUGUUGGGUUAAGUCCCGCAACGAGCGCAACCCUCGUUCUAUGUUGCCAGCGCGUUAUGGCGGGGACUCAUAGGAGACUGCCGGGGUCAACUCGGAGGAAGGUGGGGACGACGUCAAAUCAUCAUGCCCCUUAUGUCUUGGGCUUCACGCAUGCUACAAUGGCCGGUACAAAGGGUUGCGAUACUGUGAGGUGGAGCUAAUCCCAAAAAGCCGGUCUCAGUUCGGAUUGGGGUCUGCAACUCGACCCCAUGAAGUCGGAGUCGCUAGUAAUCGCAGAUCAGCAACGCUGCGGUGAAUACGUUCCCGGGCCUUGUACACACCGCCCGUCAAGUCACGAAAGUUGGUAACACCCGAAGCCGGUGGCCUAA
rnacentral:rRNA from 1 species